rnacentral:rRNA from 1 species
CACCGCGGUUAUACGAGAGGCCCAAGUUGAUAGACAACGGCACAAAGGGUGGUUAGGGAAACAACAUAAACUAAAGCAAAACUCUUUCCGGGCUGUUAUACGCGCACCGAAAGUCUGAGACCCAAUUACGAAAGUAGCUUUAAUUACCCUGAUUCCACGAAAGCUAAGAAA